rnacentral:pre_miRNA from 1 species
AUUCUACUCCCUCCGUUCCACAAUACAUGCCUUCUAUUUGUCAAAAUAUAGAUGUAUCUAGACAUGUUUUAGUAUAUAUGUACAUCCAUUUUUGGAAAAAUGGAAGUCAAGUAUUUUGGAACGAAGGGAGUAAACA